rnacentral:rRNA from 1 species
AUUGAACGCUGGCGGCAUGCCUUACACAUGCAAGUCGAACGGCAGCACGGGAGCAAUCCUGGUGGCGAGUGGCGAACGGGUGAGUAAUAUAUCGGAACGUGCCCAGUCGUGGGGAUAACGUAGCGAAAGCUACGCUAAUACCGCAUACGAUCUAUGGAUGAAAGCGGGGGAUCGCAAGACCUCGCGCGAUUGGAGCGGCCGAUAUCAGAUUAGGUAGUUGGUGAGGUAAAGGCUCACCAAGCCGACGAUCUGUAGCUGGUCUGAGAGGACGACCAGCCACACUGGGACUGAGACACGGCCCAGACUCCUACGGGAGGCAGCAGUGGGGAAUUUUUGGGACAAUGGGACGCAAGCCUGAUCCAGCAAUGCCGCGUGCAGGAUGAAGG